GACGAACGCUGGCGGCGUGCCUAAUACAUGCAAGUCGAACGCAGUGGGGACGGGUGAGUAACACGUGGGUAACCUCCCAUCAGAGGGGAUAACACUUGGAAACAGGUGCUAAACCGCUACUGAUGGAUGGAACCGCGGUGCAGUAGCUAGUUGGUGAGGUAACGGCUCACCAAGGCCACGAUGCAUAACCGACCGGGUAGGUGGAUCGGCAAAACUGGGACUGAGACACGGCCCAGACUCCUACGUGAGGCAGCAGUAGUGAAUCUUCGGCAAUGGACGAAAGUCUGACCGAGCAACGCCGCGUGAUUGAAGAAGGUUUUCGGAUCGUAAAACUCUGUUGUUAGAGAAGCGGUAUCUAACCAGAAAGCCACGGCUAACUACGUGCCAGCAGCCGCGGUAAUUC
rnacentral:rRNA from 1 species